rnacentral:rRNA from 1 species
UACAGAGGUCUCAAGCGUUGUUUCGGAUUCAUUGGGCGUAAAGGGCGCGUAGGCUGCGGGGCAAGUCGGGGUGUGAAAUCUCAGAGCUCAACUCUGAAACUGCACUCGAUACUGCUUUGCUUGAGGACUGGAGAGGAGAUUGGAAUUCACGGUGUAGCAGUGAAAAUGCGUAGAUAUCGUGAGGAAGACCAGUGGCGAAGGCGGAUCUCUGGACAGUUCCUGACGCUGAGGCGCGAAGGCCAGGGGAGCAAACGGG